AAAAAGAACUUUUUUAAUUCAAAGUGAAUCUUGACAUAGUACACCAUCAAUUCAUAAUUUGACACUCACCAAUAAGAGUCACCAAGAAGGAACCCGCUUUUUGUGACAAAGUACAUAAGGCUUGGUCACAUUGAUACUCACUGAGAACUAGAGAGGGAGGGGGCGGGGGGUGAGAAAACGACCGCAAACUGGUAAGACACACAUUAUUACAUCCAAAACGAUAAUCAUUUUCCCAGUCCUCAUAUUGUUGUAUAUUGCACAGUGCAGUUGCUACAUGUCAAACUAGUGUAGCAUUUAAGGAAAAAACAAAACAAAAAAAAUCAAAUAACAUAAAAUCAUAAAGCCACACAAUUCUACACAUAUUUAGAACAGUAACAGUUUCAAUUUAGCAAUCGUGUCUACAUAUUUGUGUCUAAAUACAAUAAAUGUCAACCCGAUAAUUAGAUAGCUGUGGUACAAAAAAAUCUACCUAAAAAACGUGUCUUAGGAAUUAAAUUGCGCAAUAACAAGUGUUGUUUUUAUUUUCAGCCCAGUACCCAGAUGAGAUGUUCAGACCACUGUUUGAGUUUGUCAUUUUGACAUGUGAGGGGGGGGGGGUUGAAAUAGAAGCAGCCAGCAGGGAUCUAACCGCUGUUGACUACAACCUCUGAAUCACUGAUGGAAACAGAUUGGAUGCUGUUUAUCGCCACAUCCUCCUAAAAAAAUGAUUAAUAGGAGGGACGGAAAGCUCGGCCCCCCCCCUCUCGUGUUUUUGGAAUUAUUUUAGCUGAACAGCCGUCGUGCGGGCCCAUGCUUUGUCACUUGAGGCUUGCUGGGCUCCCAAGUGCUAGCUGAGCUUUGGAUUGGUGUUUGACCCUCUGUUGACUUUGAUGAUGAAACUGUCACACACACACACACAGAGAGAGAGAGAGAGGCAGGAUUAUCUAUCCUAAAGCAAUCAACCCAAAGUGGUGGAUUAUGGCGUGGGACAUCACCACUGAGGUGAGUACGUGUGUUCAUCUCAUGGCAGGUGCUGAGCUGAAGGAAACAAUAGAAACAUAUUGGGUGGAGGUGGUGGUUGGGGGGGGGUCACACCACAGGGUUAAAAAGGAACAGAACACUUUGCAUGAAGUGAAGUACAGAUUACUGUGCGGCGACACACCUGCGCACGCCUCUUCAAUCAGUUUGAAAUCUAGGCUGCACUGCACGCCGGAACAAAGCAGCGCGUCCCUCUUCCUCACGUACGUUAAAGAGUCGUCAACACAGUAGCAUAAUAAGACGAGUACACACAAUUACAGCCGUUACUUGAGCAACAUAGCAAAAACCAUUACAAUGUAAUACAAUAAAGUAGGUGAGGAUAGGGCAACUUUGGACCUAUACUUUUGAGUAUGAUUGAUGGAUAAAGCCUUUUUCUUUUCUUUUUUUUGUUAAAGAACCCCUGACUGAAACACAAUGAUGAUAUCUACCUAUGCUAUUAUAGCUCCAGAGAAGAACUAUCAACAUCCCCGUUACAAAAAUGAGAGAAAGCUCUGUGUAGCUCAUCUGCGAAGCGAAAAACGGAUAUCUCGGGUUCCACAAAUACAUUCACUGCGUGAGGAUAAAGCUUUUUGCAUUUGUGUGUAUUUAGGCCCUAGGUUGUUUUUUUGUUUUUUUUUAGUACUGCACGGUGUUCUUGGUGAGCGCGAUAAAACAUUCCCUGACUUGUACUUUCUUAGGACUGUAAAAAAAAAAAGAAAAAAAAGAUUGUUUUUCAGACCUCAUCUCAGUCUUAACAAACAAACAAACUUUGGGGUUUUCGUGAUGUGAAAAGUAGGAGCUGAUCCCCCUCAAAAAGGAACUAGUCUACACGUUUCCUGACCGCUCCGAUAUCAAUGCGACGCAGCCGCUUGUUUGAAGAAAGGCACUAGUUGUACAGUACGAGAGUUGCGAAAUACAGUCCGACGACGGGAACACACACAAAAAAAAGAUAUUUCAUCAGAAGAAUGAAAGAAAAAACAAUAAUACAUCAACAACAACACCAGUUACAGAAUCCAAGAGUGAACCCAGCCUACGUUUCAAGAUGAAAUACUGAUGCUAAAUGCUCACACACGCACACACGGAAAAAAAACACACACACCAAAAAGCAACAGAAUAAAAAAAAAAAGAAGAGAAAACUCAUAACUUCCAUUACAGCAGUUUACAAUCACUUCAAAAAAAAACAACAACAACAAAGCCCAUAUACAGAGGCACAAGCAUAUAGGAAUAGCAUUCAAUAUACUCUAUGAUCAAAAUAAAAUCCACUCGUAUUGUAUUUAGUUGUCUUAACUAUAAUACAAAAGAGAGACCGCAGGCUAAUGAGAUUAAUCCUCUAAAUUCACAGCUACGAAGUGGCAGAUAAUCAGUACAUAGCAGCUUAUUAUCUAUACAUUCCAAAUACAAUAUGCCAAACAUAGCUCAGAAAAAUAAAACCUCAACCUUAGUUUUUUCUUCGUUUUUUUCUUUUCUUUCCUCGUUGUAAAAUAGAGAUCUCUCAAUAUAUAUAUACCAAUGUUGAUAACUGCAACAGGUAUGCUGGAGGUGAAAGGAGAAAUAGUAUCGACCGUGCUUUCAGAAAUGAUUAAUGAACAGUCUUUGGUGCUGAUUGGAUUAGAAUACCAGCUGAUAUGACGACAGGUAAAGACGCGGCUCUACUAUACACACACACACGCGCGCACACACACACACACACACACACUCACACACUGGAAAUCCAAAAAUAACACAAAACCCCCCAAAAAAAAGAAGAAAAAAUAUCAAGGCUAUUUCAUCCACCCUGAAGGAAUGUAUCAAAACUGACGAAACAGGCUUCAAUACAUGGACAAGAUUCGUCUCACACGAAUAUUUCAAAUUACUGAUAAACACUCAAUAGCCCAGCAAUGAUACUGUAAAUUGAUAGGGUUAUUUCAAACACUGAGAAGCAUAAAACAAACUUUUAUCUCUUUUUUUUCUCUUUAAAGUCUAUGCCACUCCCAAAAAAUCUAAAACAUUAAAAGCAUUAAUGCAGGUCUAGCCUAAAAUGCAAAAAAAUUAAAAUAAAAUAAAAACACAGCAACCCAGAGGCUAUCUAGAUUGUAUUGCAGUUACAGUAAACAGUGACAAUACUGUUAUGAAUUAAGUACUAUAGUGAAUAGAAAUUGAUUAUCAAAAUAUCAAAUCACUCUUUAUGUACAUAAAAAGCUCAUUCAGUCAAAGCCCUAAAUGUGCAGCUAAAUUAAAUCCAUACUCUGAGUUAGAAAGCAAACUGAAGUUUCAACAUUUGCUGAUAUAUAUUUUUUUAAACAUAACCACAAGCAGAAUUCCUCAUAUCCGUCCAAUAAAGCCCCGUCGUAUUCAGAGUCUGAAGGUUAAGUGCUGCAAAGCCCGUUUUUUUAAAUGUUACAAUCUAUAAGCUCCUGAAGUUUAACGUCAUAAAACUCUGGUUGUAAGGCACUGGGGGGGGGGGGUGGGACAGCGGAGUCUGCCUCAAACAAAGACAGGAGCGUUUAUUUUUUCUUUUUUUCUUACGAUCCUGGUUAAUACAGACUGGGAUGGCUUUCAUAAAAAACAACAA